rnacentral:siRNA from 1 species
GACCCCAUAACUCUACCACUUC